UUGUAUGUGAGGUGUUCAUCGGUUCGUGUCAAUUUUUCGGCGCUCCAAAAUAAAAAUAGUCGGGUCUAUGCAAAAUCUAGCUUGAUUAUUUGUCGGAGGACUUGGAUUAGGGUUUCGAUCAUUACCUUUUGCUAUUUGUCUAAAGCAAUAAGAUCUUCUAUAUCAUUGGCUAGGUGAACAAGUCACACAGAUUGCAAAUCCAAGAUC
rnacentral:lncRNA from 1 species